UACAGAGGGUGCGAGCGUUAAUCGGAAUUACUGGGUGUAAAGCGUGCGUAGACGGUUAUUUAAGUCGGGUGUGAAAGCCCCGGGCUCAACCUGGGAAUUGCAUUCGAGACUGAAUAGCUAGGGUACGGUAGAGGGAAGUGGAAUUUCCGGUGUAGCGGUGAAAUGCGUAGAUAUCGGAAGGAACAUCAGUGGCGAAAGCGACUUCCUGGACCAGUACCGACGUUCAGGCACGAAAGCGUGGGGAGCAAACAGGA
rnacentral:rRNA from 1 species